GACGAACGCUGGCGGCGCGCUUAACACAUGCAAGUCGAACGGAAAGGCCUGUCCUUCCUUGUGUUGGACGGGUACUCGAGUGGCGAACGGGUGAGUAACACGUGAGUGAUCUGCCCCCAACUUGGGUAUAAGCCUGGGAAACUGGGUCUAAUUCCCGAUAGGACUGCAGGGUGGUGCCUGUGGUGGAAAACGAUUUUCUAGUGGUUGGGGAUGAGCUCGCGGCCUAUCAGCUUGUUGGUGGGGUAAUGGCCUACCAAGGCGGCGACGGGUAGCCGGCCUGAGAGGGUGGACGGCCACAUUGGGACUGAGAUACGGCCCAGACUCCUACGGGAGGCAGCAGUGGGGAAUAUUGCACAAUGGGCGGAAGCCUGAUGCAGCGACGCCGCGUGGGGGAUGACGGCCUUCGGGUUGUAAACUCCUUUCGACCGCGAGGAAGCCGCCUGGUUGGAAGGGUGGUGACGGUAGUGGUAGAAGAAGCACCGGCUAACUACGUG
rnacentral:rRNA from 1 species